rnacentral:tRNA from 1 species
GAGGGGGAAUAACGGCCUGAACUGCUACUUCAACCACCCAGAACUAACCACCUGGCCCUCUUU